GAAAGAUUUAGUAGAUGGCAAAAAAAAAUGAGAUAGUUCAGUGGAUAAACUCCCACUGCAGUAUCUGGAAACGUAUAGCUGUGCAAGAAAGAAAGAACUCACAGAGCACAAACGUGGAUCAAUAACCCGCAUGUUUUUUUUUGUCAUUGUGACUUGCUAUCAUUUAGUUGCUUGGUUACAUGGUUGGUAGUUGGCUACACUUGAUUCAUAUUGACUUUCGAGCUUCCAUAUUGCUUUACGUGGGUAGCUUUUCAAUAUUCCUUUUACUCAUUUAUCCUUUUGGCACAAAUGAACUCUCUUUCAUUAAGCUUUUGCCUUAUAUAUUCUGUUUGUUGUAUUUAACAUCUUUGUGAUUAAAGUCCU